rnacentral:misc_RNA from 1 species
UGCAGACAAAAUUCAAAGUGAUGAGAAUAAUACUGGAUUAUUAUUAAGUCAAAAAACAAAUUCAAGUUUAAGUCGAACUUCAAAUGCAGCAUCUGAUUUCGAAAAUGAUAUAGAGGUUUCACGGCAGCGAAAAAAACUUGAAAUAAUCACGUCUAAGCUUGCCAGUGCAUUGGAUCGUGCAAAUGUAAGUAGCAGAAAUGCUACUUACAUUGUAGCUGCUACUUUAAUCAGCGCGGGACUAGAUAUAAGUCAAUAUAAUUUGAGUCACUCAACCAUCCAUCGUCAGCGUGAAUUAGCGAGAAAAAGUACAAUGGCAAAUUUACAACAAAAUUUAAAAGUUGAUAAAUGCGUUUUACACUGGGAUGGGUAGAUAAUGCCUGACAUUGAAACGCGCCAAGACGUGGACAGAUUACCAAUCGUAUUAUCAGCUUUGGGACAAGAAAUACUACUUGGUGCUCUCAAAAUUGACUCUGGAACUGGGGAAAAUCAAGCCUCAGCAAUUAUUUCUGUCCUGAGUGAAUGGUCUAUCGCUAACAGUAUUACAGCAUUAUGUUUUGAUACUGCGGCUGUAAAUACAGGAAUUCACAGUGGUGAAUGUGUUCUCGUUGAACAAGCACUAAGAAGAGAGUUGACUUAUUUACCAUGCCGUCAUCACAUUAUUGAGCUAGUUUUAAGAUCCGCAUUUGAAACUUAUUGGCCUACAUCUUCAGGUCCAAAUGUUUCGAUUUUUACUCGGUUCAAAAACAAAUGGAGUGAUAUUGAUCAACAAAAAUAUACUACUGGGAUUUCAGACAGAGAAGUUCAAGAAGCCCUUGCAGAUAUAAAAGAUGAAAUCCUAAUACUUAUUGCUAAUUACUUACAAAUUUCGCAACCAAGAGGAGAUUAUAAGGAGCUUCUGGACUUAGCUCUGAUUUUUUUGGGAGCUUUGCCAUCUGACGGAGUAGUUUUAAAUAUCCUGGAGCUGUUCAUCAUGCAAGGUGGAUGGCAAAAGCGAUUUAUAAUUUAAAAAUAUUCAUGUUUAGAAAUCAGUUAAAGCUAACAAAGACCGAAAUUGUAGGAGUCCGUCAAAUUUGUAUUUUUGUGAUAAAAUUUCACAUAAAAGCGUGGUUUUCAGCAACGUCAGCGAUAACAGCGCCAAGUAAUGAUUUAAUGCUGAUAAAAAAUUUGCUUCUCGACAAAAAAAUUAAUUCAGCUGUUUCAAAAAAGACAUCUGAGAAAAUGGCUAAUCAUCUGUGGUACCUUUCUGAAGAAUUAGCAGCUUUGGCUUUAUUUGAUUCGAGAGUUUCACCGGAAAUAAAAAUUAGAAUGAUCAUUGGUAUUAUUUGAACGAUUUGGAUUGUCUACUGAGUUUCUUGAUGUCGACAUCACUUUAUGGGCUAGUCACAGAAGCUUUCAAGAAAAUAUUCAAUUUUUUAGUACAUUAAAAGUAGUGAAUGACGUUGCUGAGAGGAAUGUCGCAUUAAUUACUAAAUAUAAUCAGCAUUUAACUAACAGUGAAGAACAAUUUCAAGGUUUGCUACAAACGGUAAAAAAACAUAGAGAAGACUUUCCGAGCUGUUCUAAAAAAAACUUUAUGUAAAUUGUACUAUUGAAGGUAUAUUGACCAUAAAUUCGUAAUACAUCUGUAUUUUUUUAGCGCUGUUCAGUGAAAUUAGUCAGUAAUCAAUAAUUAAUAAAAACUUUUCAUCAAAAA